rnacentral:rRNA from 1 species
GAUGAACGCUGGCGGCGUGCUUAACACAUGCAAGUCGAACGGUGAAGCCAAGCUUGCUUGGUGGAUCAGUGGCGAACGGGUGAGUAACACGUGAGCAACCUGCCCUGGACUCUGGGAUAAGCGCUGGAAACGGCGUCUAAUACUGGAUAUGAGACGUGAUCGCAUGGUCAACGUUUGGAAAGAUUUUUCGGUCUGGGAUGGGCUCGCGGCCUAUCAGCUUGUUGGUGAGGUAAUGGCUCACCAAGGCGUCGACGGGUAGCCGGCCUGAGAGGGUGACCGGCCACACUGGGACUGAGACACGGCCCAGACUCCUACGGGAGGCAGCAGUGGGGAAUAUUGCACAAUGGGCGGAAGCCUGAUGCAGCAACGCCGCGUGAGGGAUGACGGCCUUCGGGUUGUAAACCUCUUUUAGCAGGGAAGAAGCGAAAGUGACGGUACCUGCAGAAAAAGCGCCGGCUAACUACGUGCCAGCAGCCGCGGUAAUACGUAGGGCGCAAGCGUUAUCCGGAAUUAUUGGGCGCAAAGAGCUCGUAGGCGGUUUGUCGCGUCUGCUGUGAAAUCCCGAGGCUCAACCUCGGGCCUGCAGUGGGUACGGGCAGACUAGAGUGCGGUAGGGGAGAUUGGAAUUCCUGGUGUAGCGGUGGAAUGCGCAGAUAUCAGGAGGAACACCGAUGGCGAAGGCAGAUCUCUGGGCCGUAACUGACGCUGAGGAGCGAAAGGGUGGGGAGCAAACAGGCUUAGAUACCCUGGUAGUCCACCCCGUAAACGUUGGGAACUAGUUGUGGGGACCAUUCCACGGUUUCCGUGACGCAGCUAACGCAUUAAGUUCCCCGCCUGGGGAGUACGGCCGCAAGGCUAAAACUCAAAGGAAUUGACGGGGACCCGCACAAGCGGCGGAGCAUGCGGAUUAAUUCGAUGCAACGCGAAGAACCUUACCAAGGCUUGACAUACACCAGAACGGGCCAGAAAUGGUCAACUCUUUGGACACUGGUGAACAGGUGGUGCAUGGUUGUCGUCAGCUCGUGUCGUGAGAUGUUGGGUUAAGUCCCGCAACGAGCGCAACCCUCGUUCUAUGUUGCCAGCACGUAAUGGUGGGAACU